UUUUGUUUUAAAUGGUUUUUUAUUGUUUUUGCAGUAAAAUUGCAUGCAUAGUGUGAGAAGCAAAAAACAAUAUAAUGUUGCCUGCGCAGAGGCUUAGUGUUGUAUAAGAUCUUAGUUGCAUUUGCGCCUGCGCAGAGGCUUCUUACAGUUGUACCACACAAUAUCAGUCAUCUGUUUGUUACAUGCUUGUAAUAUCUAAACUGCUGACCUGUGAUACACAUUGUCUAGUGAUGUUAUUGUUAACCUCAUGCAGUGUAAAAUACAGUACAGGUAUCGAGCAGGUUAGCAUGAAAAGCCCUUUAUCGCCUUCGCUGAAGCUUGCGCGAUCCCUCAGACAAGGUGGGCGCAUUGUGUGAUGCGUGUAGAUAUGUGUGUUGCUGGCAGACAGGCGAAAUGUCAGGAGAAACUCAUGCGCGGUUCCGUGCAUCAGGAUUAUUGCGCUAGCUCAAUGGGCGUAGAAAUUUCUAAGUUUAGUGUGGGCCUGUUAGUAUACCGCGGUCAGCCAUUGUGUACCCAACCAUAAACAGUUAUACAGUUUGUAGUUAUGACAGUAUUAUUAAGCGCGGUAUGUGGCCUAUGUGUAGAUGCUCGCUUGGUACAGGUUACAAAUGCAAAUCCUGAAAUCAUAAGCAGGUGUAGCAUUAACGUCCGCCGUCAGCGGGGUAAUGUAUUAAAAACAUAGUGGGUAGGUCCUCCUAGCUGCGGCUGCCCCCUAUGUUUUAUCCUAAUGCAGAUUAAUUUAUACUAGCCACGUGGUUUCAUAAGAAUAACAUGUCAUUAAGUGCAUGCUUCCCACGACGAGACAGGUGCUAAACAUAUGAGGGAUAUAAAAUAACAUUAACAGCAU